CAUCUAUUUGACAGGCCUGGAGCAGUUAAUGUCUGCUUCUAAGGUUUCCACUACACAGGCAAGAAAAAAUAUCCUCCUGUUUUCUGUCUGAUUGGGGCAGCCAAGAUUGAAUGCAGGAAUAUGUGA
rnacentral:snoRNA from 1 species